GAUGGAGAACGUAGCGAAAUGCGAUAAGUAAUGUGAAUUGCAGAAUUCAGUGAAUCAUCGAAUCUUUGAACGCACAUUGCGCCCCCUGGUAUUCCGGGGGGCAUGCCUGUUCGAGCGUCAUUUCACCACUCAAGCCUCGCUUGGUAUUGGGCAACGCGGUCCGCCGCGUGCCUCAAAUCGACCGGCUGGGUCUUCUGUCCCCUAAGCGUUGUGGAAACUAUUCGCUAAAGGGUGUUCGGGAGGCUACGCCGUAAAACAACCCCAUUUCUAAGGUUGACCUCGGAUCAGGUAGGGAUACCCGCUGAACUUAAGCAUAUCAAUAAGCGGAGGA
rnacentral:misc_RNA from 1 species